GUAGGUGGCAAGCGUUGUCCGGAAUUAUUGGGCGUAAAGCGCGCGCAGGCGGUUCUUUAAGUCUGAUGUGAAAGCCCACGGCUCAACCGUGGAGGGUCAUUGGAAACUGGAGAACUUGAGUACAGAAGAGGAAAGUGGAAUUCCACGUGUAGCGGUGAAAUGCGUAGAGAUGUGGAGGAACACCAGUGGCGAAGGCGGCUUUCUGGUCUGUAACUGACGCUGAGGCGCGAAAGCGUGGGGAGCAAACAGGGAUUAGAUACCCUGGUAGUCCACGCCGUAAACGAUGAGUGCUAAGUGUUAGGGGGUUUCCGCCCCCUUAGUGCUGCAGCUAACGCAUUAAGCACUCCGCCUGGGGAGUACGACCGCAAGGUUG
rnacentral:rRNA from 1 species